rfam:Oryza glaberrima chromosome 1 Oglab01_0314_3, whole genome shotgun sequence.
UUUAAGUGCAGUUGUAGGUUUCUAUGUCCAGCGUUCGACCGUUCGUCUUAUUUAAAUUUUUUUAUGAUUAAUAUUUUUGUUAUUAUCAGAUGAUAAAACAUAAAUAGUACUUUAUGCGUAACUUACUUUUUAAUUUUUUUUACAUUUUUUUUAAUAAAGCAAACGGUCAAACAUUGGAUACAUAUAUAAAUCAACAACUGCACUUAAA